rnacentral:lncRNA from 1 species
UUACGACAAAAAAAAUAUCAUUAAUUCAUAACCAAAAAGAGAAAUUACAAAAUACAUCAUUUUCCUUGGCCAUUAGGAUCUUCAGGUUUCCGCAUGGCCUUCAAGCGAUCUAGUGUCUCGCGAUACUUUUCAACUUCUUCCGGAUGCGACUUAAUCCACGCUACAAUCUGAUUAGCAAAGCAUUGCGGCAUAUUGGGUAGCGCAGAAGGACCUAUAAGACUUACUAAGUCUUGAUGAAAUGUGAAACUUCAAUUGAAAUGAUUACUAGAAUAUUGAUUACAUGAUGA